rnacentral:rRNA from 1 species
UACGUAUGGUGCAAGCGUUAUCCGGAUUUACUGGGUGUAAAGGGAGCGUAGACGGCUGUGUAAGUCUGAAGUGAAAGCCCGGGGCUCAACCCCGGGAUUGCUUUGGAAACUAUGCAGCUAGAGUGUCGGAGAGGUAAGUGGAAUUCCCAGUGUAGCGGUGAAAUGCGUAGAUAUUGGGAGGAACACCAGUGGCGAAGGCGGCUUACUGGACGAUGACUGACGUUGAGGCUCGAAAGCGUGGGGAGCAAACAGG